GGAAUUUUGGACAAUGGGGGCAACCCUGAUCCAGCAAUGCCGCGUGAGUGAUGAAGGCCCUCGGGUCGUAAAGCUCUUUUACCCGGGAUGAUAAUGACAGUACCGGGAGAAUAAGCUCCGGCUAACUCCGUGCCAGCAGCCGCGGUAAUACGGAGGGAGCUAGCGUUGUUCGGAAUUACUGGGCGUAAAGCGUACGUAGGCGGCGUUUCAAGUCAGAGGUGAAAGCCCGGGGCUCAACCCCGGAACUGCCUUUGAAACUAGAACGCUAGAAUCUUGGAGAGGUCAGUGGAAUUCCGAGUGUAGAGGUGAAAUUCGUAGAUAUUCGGAAGAACACCAGUGGCGAAGGCGACUGACUGGACAAGCAUUGACGCUGAGGUACGAAAGCGUGGGGAGCAAAC
rnacentral:rRNA from 1 species